GUGUACAACUACUGUAACUUGCUCUGGAUAAGAGCGUCUGCUAAAUGACUAAAA
rfam:Salmo salar isolate Sally breed double haploid chromosome ssa04, whole genome shotgun sequence.